rnacentral:rRNA from 1 species
UUAGCCCUAAACACAAAUAAUUAUAAAAACAAAAUUAUUCGCCAGAGUACUACCGGCAACAGCCUAAAACUCAAAGGACUUGGCGGUGCUUUAUACCCUUCUAGAGGAGCCUGUUCUAUAAUCGAUAAACCCCGAUAGACCUCACCAAUUCUUGCUAAUACAGUCUAUAUACCGCCAUCUUCAGCAAACCCUAAAAAGGAAUAAAAGUAAGCAUAAUCACAACACAUAAAAACGUUAGGUCAAGGUGUAACCUAUGAAAUGGGAAGAAAUGGGCUACAUUUUCUACCACAAGAAAAUCACACGAAAGUUAUUAUGAAACUAAUAACCAAAGGAGGAUUUAGUAGUAAACUAAGAAUAGAGUGCUUAGUUGAAUUAGGCCAUGAAGCACGC